GAAAAACAACAGAGAGAAAAAAAUGAACGCUAAGGGUCAUUGUCUCUAGCGUACAUAUCAAAUUCGCCCUCAAUGGUAACAUGUACUUUUUUCCUUUCAAUUGGCAACUGAUUUUUCUUACCUUCUGUUGUAAGUUUGGGAUUUGAAUCUUCAAUUUUCCAACGGUCAUACUUCAUUUGGGUUCUAUAAAUAGAAACCCUUCUCUUUAUUUUAAGAAGGAGAUUUUCAGAUUUUUGAGCCACAAUGGGUUUUUUGACAACCCUCAAGAUUUCGAACACUUAGAAGCUUGGAAAAAGCCUUGAUUUUAGAGGAAGUUCGAGCUCGUACUUUAAAUUUUGGAAGUCAUUUCCGUUCGUCGAAAAUCGAUUCGGGUGAAAGGUAGUUCGUCGACUCUUGUCGCCCCCAUUGCUGCUCAACAAAAAGUAUCAGGAUGGAUCUACUUCUCUAACUCGUGGCUGAUCGACUCCUUAGCUUCUAUUUGAGAUUUCCAGGGUGAGCAUGGCGUCCGCUGAUCCUGAAGACUCUUUUAUUAUUUAUGUCUUACCCUUCUUUCAAGACAUGAUUUGAGACAUUUUUUGUAUUAUUAUUCAGACCAAAGUUAUUCCGAUUUAGAUGCUCUUGUAUGACCAAACCAGAUACUGGGGUGGAUUCAUUUACUUCCGCACUUAUCUAUAUUAUAUUAUAUUGUGAGACCUA